rnacentral:rRNA from 1 species
AUUGAACGCUAGCGGGAUGCCUUACACAUGCAAGUCGAACGGAGUGGCGAACGGGUGAGUAAUGGAUCGGAACGUGCCCAGUAGCGGUGGAUAACGACGCGAAAGCGUAGCUAAUACCGCAUACUAGUGGUGCGGCAGAGAGCGGAUUAGCUAGUUGGUGGGGUAAGGGCUCACCAAGGCGACGAUCCCUAGCAGGUUUGAGAGGACAACCAGCAACACGGGGACUGAGACACGGCCCAGACUCCUACGGGAGGCAGCAGUGGGGAAUUUUGGACAAUGGGGGAAACCCUGAUCCAGCCAGCCCGCGUGUGCGAUGAAGGCCUUCGGGUUGUAAAGCACUUUUGGCAGGAAAGCGGUACCUGCAGAAUAAGCACCGGCUAACUACGUGCCAGCAGCCGCGGUAAUAC